rnacentral:tRNA from 1 species
GCCCAGGUAGUUUAAUUAAAAUGUUGACUUGUGGAGUCAGAGUUAUAUAUUUAUAUGCUGGGCA